rnacentral:lncRNA from 1 species
UACGGAGUGUCUAUUCGUCCGGCUAGCCGGACGAAUAGUUAAAAAUCUCUAUUCGUCCGGCCAUCCGUCUGCGGAUGCGCAAAUCCUCAAUAUCAACAAAAGUGUCAUGUGACGCGGAAAGUGUCCCGGAUGACUGGUGUCGGAUAACACACGCGGUGUCGGAUAACACACGCGCGUAUGCAAUGGACGUUUUGAGAAUUGGAGAUCGUUAUUUAAAGAUGUCAUAGAGAAAACCUGAGAGAAUUUGAUUGCUUUAAACAAAUGUAUAUAGGAGUGAUUCCAGAAAAAUAGCGUGUACAUGUUAACUGUGAGGAAUAAGCCUGAAAUCGAAGUGAAAUUGAUGAUUUACCCCCAUUUACCUUAUGGAGGCAAAACGCAUUCGGAAAAAAUACUAUAUCAAACUUGCUUGGGUGCAUUAUUUUCAAGUUCUACUACAACGGAGAUAUAUGAACAUACUGAUAUGCCUUGACUGUGAAUAAGACACCAGGGUUGGGGUACCCCCCUUUUUUCUGUUAUAUCAAUACAAUUUGUUUCUAAAACAAUCUUAUCGAAAAUAAAAUCCUACUUUUGGGGACAGGUUUCACGUGCCUGUCCUUUUCUCUAAUUUCCUAUGAAUUAAAAAUCUCCGAACAAUUUAAAUGAAGAAUCGUGCAUAAUCACUAUGGGGACCUUCCUUUAACCAAACUUCACAGAAACAAUAAAUUCAGGAUCUUUUGGAAUCAUAGAGAAAGCCAAAAAUGAUUGGCCCGACUAUUUACCUUACAUGAAAUUCAUAGGCAGAACUACAAAGAGAGAAUCCCCCCCUUUUCCUACCUAAAAUUCCUUUAGAAUAUUAGAAUAAAAAAAUCUGAAUCAAAUGUAUAGUUUUUUUGUUUUUCCUAUUAGAAUGAGUUCUUUUUCAUUAAACGAUGUUAGACAAAAAAAAUAAAACAACUCGUGCUCUAUUUUAAAUCUUCUAAACACAAAGCUAUAUCUUCAUCAUUAUGUUUUUGACCGGACAAAUAGCGAAAAACCGUAAAAAUGCUAUUUGUCCGGCUUGCCGGAUGAAUAGACAUUUU